rnacentral:rRNA from 1 species
GACGGGGCCCGCACAAGCGUGGAGCAUGUGGUUAAUUCGAAGCAACGCGAAGAACCUUACCAGGUCUUGACAUCCCGAUGCUAUUUCUAGAGAUAGAAAGUUACUUCGGUACAUCGGUGACAGGUGGUGCAUGGUUGUCGUCAGCUCAUGUCGUGAGAUGUUGGGUUAAGUCCCGCAACGAGCGCAACCCCUAUUGUUAGUUGCCAUCAUUCAGUUGGGCACUCUAGCGAGACUGCCGGUAAUAAACCGGAGGAAGGUGGGAUGACGUCAAAUCAUCAUGCCCCUUAUGACCUGGGCUACACACGUGCUACAAUGGUUGGUACAACGAGUUGCGAGUCGGUGACGGCGAGCUAAUCUCUUAAAGCCAAUCUCAGUUCGGAUUGUAGGCUGCAACUCGCCUACAUGAAGUCGGAAUCGCUAGUAAUCGCGGAUCAGCACGCCGCGGUGAAUACGUUCCCGGGCCUU